GUGCAGCCUCUCGCACAGCAUACCCGGGUGUCCACUGGCAGCAAAAUGACAUUAUACCUAGAAAAUUUCUUUGUGACUUUGGAAUGGAUUGGAUUGCUGCAAUUCUUUUUUGGAGGGAGUGCGUUACUAUCUAAUCUGAUCACAUGUCCCAGGCCUGCUUAGAGGGAGAACACAUCAUUAAAUCAUUGACAUGUCCAACACUGUUGAUGAAAAGCAAUAAAGACCCAGUUGAAUGCUAACAACGUGGGGAGGGGUGGCCAUCAGAGGAAGAGGAUCAGAGAAGUCUGUGAUUUUACCUGGAACACUGAUUCAGGACCACGGGCAGGGCCACUCGGAGGUUGCUUCUGGGCCACAUGUGGCCCGCGGGCCGCCAUUUGAAGAGGCUUGGUGUAAGGUUGAAGCCAGGUGAUUGGAUCCGUGUCCGAGUACUCCAAAAAAAAAUUGGAGCUCGCCAUGGUGGGAGGGUCCAGACCAAGUGCUUCUGACCACUCCAACUGCCUGCAAAAUAGCGGAAAGACCUUCCUGGAUACACCAAAGCCACUGCAAGAAAGUUGAGGUCCCAGAGGAUUCCACUUCCUUCACAGAAAUCAACUAGUAGGGGAAAGUUUCACCCUCACUUGGUUGCUUCAGUGGUGAGGGGGAAGUGCUGAUUGAGCAUUGCUCGCACUUCCACCUCCAGCCAUUGGCCAACUCUAGAGUAACCAAGCAGUAGGGUGUGAUGGACCUGUACACAGCCAUGGGAAGGUGGACCCUCUUGGUUACCUUGACUACGAUGCUCACCCUUACAGGACCCCAGCUGAUGCCAACAACAGCUGAACCACGAGGCAGACAGAAAAGAUAGACGCAUGACAACUCCCGUCUAAGAGACAUAACACAAGACCACAUCCACCCUUGGAUGAAUAAUGCCUGAUACCGCUAUAUCCACGACAGGACCAGGGCAGAAUCGGAAAAUACAGACUGUUAUGUCUGUUCUCAUAUGCCCAGCACGGCGACACACCCCACACUAUAUGGCAAAUACAUGGACAACACUCAAGCCAAGUGUGCUGCUAGCUUCGCUGGCAUUGGAUUCCAACACAGCCAAAUCACCAUCGACCCGACAAACCUAUCUACCUUUUACACUCUUCACGUCAACCUUCAAGGAGGGUUACAACACAAGAAAAUCACCAUUGAAGACUUUGUACUUGAUAGCAUGUGAUCAACUUUUCUGGAUCAACUUCAAUGUGACAAACCGGAAUACAUCCAUCCAUUUCCCAGUGUUCUUGGACCAAACUCCAGGGAAAAACCACUCCAUGUGCUAUAAACUAAACAAAGGUAACAGGCCGCUUGGAAACACCACCAACUGCAACCGGACCGCUGGAGGAGGAGAAGGUGCCCCUGUGAACACGCCUGGACCGUCUAAUGGCACGUACUGGGUGCAAGGAAUGGCCCGGCUAUGUGGACAACGGGCAUAUUUCAUACUGCCACCAGGCUGGACAGGAACAUGUGCUCCUAUAUUCCUGUCAGACCACACUUUCAGGAUGACCGCAG
ensembl:lncRNA